GGGUUCCAUUGCUAUGAAAGUUUCCUUUCAACUGCAGUGUGAUCCAUUAUCGUGGCAGGCCCAGGCAGAGAUGAAAAGGCUUCCCAGAAAAUUCUCCUAAGAGAAAAAACCCUGGAUGGCUUAUACAUAUACCCUCUCUGCACUGCAACUUCUGAAACAGAAGAAGCCUUUCAGAAGCACCACAGAAAGGAAACUUGCAAGCUCUCCCUGCUCGGGAAGAGUCUCAAGGGCGAGAGUGGAAGGAAACAGAGAUUCCUUCUACCCGCCAUCAGAACAGCUGUGAUGUGGACUGAACGCGCUGCCUGAGGCAGGAGUCAGUGCAGUAACCCAGCUUGCAUUGCUCUAAUGGGCUGAGGUCCUGAGGCUGAAAGCGAGGCAGCUUGAGCCAGGAGAAAGUCUUUCCAAAACCUUUUCCGUUUCAAGAGCACCUCAGCCAGUUCCAAAUCCAUUUACUCCUGACUAAAUCUGCUCAAUAACCAUCAAGCUAAAGCACACUGCAGGUAUCUCCAGCAGCUCCCUGGUACAGGCUCUGCUCGUUAUCAAGCUCGUGUAUUACUAAAUCAGCCUCCUGCAUUUCACACCCUUCUGUUAGCUGCUCAUCACUCGUAACAUUCCUCCCAGAGAGUUAAAUAAAAUUUACAACCAUGAAAUAAACAGGAAUCACUGUUGCCUUCUCAAGGCUGAGUGCACUGCAGACAUCUAAAUUGAACUCCUCAUCCUAGGGCCA